rnacentral:rRNA from 1 species
UAAGGGGUGACCUGCGGAAGGAUCAUUAUCUAUUCCAUGAGGUGCGGUCGCGGCCCUCGGCGGGAGCAACAGCUACCGUCGGGCGGUAGAGGUAACACUUUCACGCGCCGCAUGUCUGAAUCCUUUUUUUACGAGCACCUUUCGUUCUCCUUCGGCGGGGCAACCUGCCGUUGGAACCUAUCAAAACCUUUUUUUGCAUCUAGCAUUACCUGUUCUGAUACAAACAAUCGUUACAACUUUCAACAAUGGAUCUCUUGGCUCUGGCAUCGAUGAAGAACGCAGCGAAAUGCGAUAAGUAGUGUGAAUUGCAGAAUUCAGUGAAUCAUCGAAUCUUUGAACGCACAUUGCGCCCCUUGGUAUUCCAUGGGGCAUGCCUGUUCGAGCGUCAUCUACACCCUCAAGCUCUGCUUGGUGUUGGGCGUCUGUCCCGCCUCUGCGCGCGGACUCGCCCCAAAUUCAUUGGCAGCGGUCCUUGCCUCCUCUCGCGCAGCACAUUGCGCUUCUCGAGGUGCGCGGCCCGCGUCCACGAAGCAACAUUACCGUCUUUGACCUCGGAUCAGGUAGGGAUACCCGCUGAACUUAAGCA